GUCUGCAACCCGACUACAUGAAGCUGGAAUCGCUAGUAAUCGCGGAUCAGAAUGCCGCGGUGAAUACGUUCCCGGGUCUUGUACACACCGCCCGUCACACCAUGGGAGUCGGAAAUGCCCGAAGCCGGUGACUCAACCUUUAAGGAGAGAGCCGUCGAAGGCAGGUCUGAUAACUGGGGUGAAGUCGUAACAAGGUAAC
rnacentral:rRNA from 1 species